GCGGCAGAGGGUCCCGCGUGGCAGAGGAGAGGGCGGCAGAGGGUCCCGCGUGGCAGAGGAGAGGGCGGCAGAGGGUCCCGCGUGGCAGAGGAGAGGGCGGCAGAGGAUCCCGCGUGGCAGAGGGCAGCCGACAGGCAGCUCUGAGAGGAUACAGGGUUGGGAAGCUCAGGCAGAAGGCCAUCGUAAGAGCUAAGAGCUACGUAUGGAGAGUGUGGAGGUGAUGAGAACUGAACGGGGGCCGCUGGGCUUAGUGACCAGGCAGCAACUGUGCCCUUGCUGAAUUCCAGGCGCUAAAGAACUUGGUGAAGAGUCCGGGCCCCGCUGAGAGGGUGGCGCGUGCGCAAAUGUGGAAUCCUCACCCAAAGUCCUCAGCCUCAGAGCACACGAAGGUGUUUCUCCUCCCCUGUCGAGCGGGAACCGGGGGUCCAGGCUGGGACGCUGAUUGGAUGUGACAGCCCAGCAGACUCCAUGCUCGGGGUGGAGGCUUCAAAGGACACGGCAGGCGUCAGGGACUUUUCUUUCUCUUUGAGAUGGGGUCUUGCUCUGUUGCCCAGGCUGGAGUGCAGGGGCGCAAUCACAGCUCAUUGCAGCCUCAAUGUCUGCUCAAGCAAUCCUCCAGCCUCAGGCCUCUAACAUGCCAAGAUCACAGGUAUGAGCCACUGUGCCUGGCCUAGGGACUUUUUCUUUUUCUUUUUUUUUUUUUUUUGAGACAGUCUCACUCUGUCGCCCAGGCUGGAGUGCAGGGGCACGAUCUCGGCUCACUGCAAGCUCCGCCUCCCGGGUUCACGCCAUUCUCCUGCCUCAGCCUCCCGAGUAGCUGGGACUACAGGCGCCCGCCACCACGCCCGGCUAAGUUUUUUGUAUUUUUAGUAGAGAUGGG
rnacentral:lncRNA from 1 species